rfam:Schistosoma mansoni strain Puerto Rico chromosome 7, complete genome
GCACUGCUGAGGAGUAGUCCCACAAUAGGACGAAACGACCGUCCAGUGC